rnacentral:rRNA from 1 species
AUUGAACGCUGGCGGCAGGCCUAACACAUGCAAGUCGAGCGGAUGAAGGGAGCUUGCUCCUGGAUUCAGCGGCGGACGGGUGAGUAAUGCCUAGGAAUCUGCCUGGUAGUGGGGGAUAACGUCCGGAAACGGGCGCUAAUACCGCAUACGUCCUGAGGGAGAAAGUGGGGGAUCUUCGGACCUCACGCUAUCAGAUGAGCCUAGGUCGGAUUAGCUAGUUGGUGGGGUAAAGGCCUACCAAGGCGACGAUCCGUAACUGGUCUGAGAGGAGGAUCAGUCACACUGGAACUGAGACACGGUCCAGCCUCCUACGGGAGGCAGAAGUGGGGAAUAUUGGACAAUGGGCGAAAGCCUGAUCCAGCCAUGCCGCGUGUGUGAAGAAGGUCUUCGGAUUGUAAAGCACUUUAAGUUGGGAGGAAGGGCAGUAAGUUAAUACCUUGCUGUUUUGACGCUACCAACAGAAUAAGCACCGGCUAACUUCGG